UUAGGUAUAAAAUUGCUCAUCAUAUUCCUCCUAAAUACUCGUGCCCCCCGGAUUGUUAUUCUCGCGCACUCGUAAGUUCUCGUUUCCCCCUUCCCAUCAAACCAGGAAAACCUAACCCUAGAUUUCGUGAACCUGCUCUCUAACCAUCAUCAUGGCUGGCGAUUCUCAAGACAAUCUCCGUCGCAAGCACCGCCGGCUUUCCGAAGAUGACGACGCUGACGAUUCCACCAAGCUCCGCAAGCACCGUCAUCAUCACCAUCGUCACCGUGACCACCUUCGCAGCAGCCGUAAGCGUGAAGGUGAAGAACAGCCAGAGUUGCAAGUAGAAGAGGAGGUUUUGCUUACUCUUCCGCCGCCGUCAACUGGUGAUGUCGAUUAUGAUAUGGAGGAAGGAGAGAUUGUUGAUGAUGUCGGUCCUUUGAAGAUGCGAUCGGAUUCUGAUGUUGAAUCCAAGGCUGCUCGAUUGCUUGCUGAAUCCGAUAAAUUGACAAUCACGGGAGUUAAUGAAGCUAAGAUGAAGCUUGAAGAAAACACGGUGAAUGGUGGCCGUGGUUUGGAGGUAUCUGGAGAAGCCAAGAGUGACACCGGGUUGCUCGUUUGUUCCAAUCUAGAUGUCAAAGUGAAAGCAGCUGAUGGUAGCAGUAUUCAAAAUAAGGUUCCUAAUUAUAUGAAUGGUGCCACUAUGUUAGGAUCAGUUAAAGAGAAUUAUGAUAAAGUUGUAGAAUCACAGUCUCCUGUCAAAACUAGCAACAGGAGAACGAUAUACCAUGUUAGCGAGGAUGGUUGUAGGAGUCAGAGCAAAUCAAUGUCAUCUGGAGAUGACAGAAAUGUGCAGAAAAGCUUUGUGUCCUCUCCCCAUGACGAGAGGAACAAAGAAACGGGUUAUAGUAGGGAUAGACCCAAGUCUCAUGAUAGAUGCAGGGAACGAUCUCGUUCACAUGAAAAUGUACUGGAUACUUCCAUGCCAAUACAUGCCCAAGAUAGCAAGAAAUUUGUUAGUGAUUCAGAGGAUGACGAUAACAUGAUUGAAAGAAACAGGGACUCCCAACAUGAUAAAAAAGAUAUAUCCAAGUAUAAAGAAAGGGAGAGGAGUUCUAGUUACAAUUUGUAUACUCGACACCCAGAUAGGCAUCGUAGCCAGGACAGGGAGGCGAGUUGGGAUGGACGGCACAAUGAUAGGGAAGGGAGAGACAUGGACAGGGAUAAAAAAACUGAAAGACAUAGGGAGAAGGACAAAGAGGAUGGAGAAAGGCAAAGGGAGAGGGAUAAGAAGAGAGAUCGAAGACAAGAACGGGAUAGAGAGAUGGAUAAUGAAAAGUUGGCCAGAGAUAGAGAGAUGGAUAAUGAAAAGUUGGCCAGAGAUAGAGAGAGGAUGAGGGAAAAUGAUAGGGAAGGAGAGAUGGAUAGGCAAAGGGAGAGGGAGAAAGGAAGGGAGAGAGAAAAGGAAAGAGACAGGGACAGAGAAGAAUGGGGGAGAAAGCGGCAAAAGGAGAGGGAGUGGGAGAGGGAAAGAGAGGAUAGGGAGCGAAGAAGGGAGAGGGAAGAUAGGAGCCGAAAGAAUGAAAGGGAGUGGGAGAAUGGAAGGGAUAAACCUGGAGGUAGUGGAAGGGAUAGAGAAUCUGAUAGGAGCAUCCGGCAUCAUAAGAACGAAAAGGAUAUUGAUGAUAGCUAUGAUCGAUAUAGGAAUUAUGACUCCAAGAGUAGGCGGUUUGAUGAAUCACAGCAUAGUAAUAGGGUUAGUAAAAAUGAUAGUGAAAAAGUUGGUCAUGUAAAAUCUGAUCACCUGAAAGAUGAGAAAGAGAAAUCUAAGAGAGAGGUAGCUGAGAUAGAGGACUAUGAAGAAAAAGUUGCCUUACAACUUGCAGAUCAGGAAGAGGAUGAUCUUGAUAGAAUUAAAGAGGAGAGCAGAAGGCGAAUGCAAGCCAUCCUUGAAAAAUAUAAAGCUAAACCAUCACAUCAAGUCAACAAGCCUCAGCCUAAGGACUCUGAAAAGGAAAACACUGCGUGCUUCUUUGUUGACGCUUCUGCUGAUCGAACUGUUCUGGAAACUUCAGAUGACAAGAUUGACGUAAUUGAUAACAAUGUGGAUGAGCCUCCAUUAGCUGUUGUCAAAUCUCCUCUCCAGAAUGAGGGUUUUAUUAUUCAAAGUACUUCUGGUGCUGGGGGUCUGGGAGAGGGUUCUCCAAAGAGUGAGAGAUCACAGGGAAGCUUUUGUGAUGAUAUUUUUGGGGAUUCACCAGCCGGAGUCCGUAAAACAGCUAAGUUAGAUGGUGUAGCUGUUGAAAGGAGUGGUCUUCAUGACAAUUGGGACGAUGCAGAUGGAUAUUAUAGUUACCGAGUUGGGGAGCUACUAGAUGGUCGGUAUGAAGUUAUAUCUGCUCAUGGGAGAGGAGUCUUCUCAACAGUAGUUCGUGCAAGGGAUCUUAGGGCUGGACCUGGUGAUCCUGAAGAAGUAGCAAUAAAAAUUUUACGCAAUAGAGAGGCAAUGCUUAAGGCUGGUAAAGAGGAGCUUAUCAUACUAAACAAAUUAGUCGGUGCUGACCCUGAGAAUAGGAGACAUUGUGUCCGUUAUCUUUUGUCUUUUAAAUAUCGGGACCAUCUUUGUUUAGUUUUUGAAUCUCUUCAUAUGAAUCUGCGUGAAGUUCUUAAGAAGUUUGGUCGCAACAUUGGACUUAAACUCACCGCGGUUAGAACAUAUGCUAAGCAACUAUUUAUUGCACUGAAGCAUCUCAAGAACUGCGGUGUUCUACACUGCGACAUAAAACCAGAUAACAUGCUGGUAAAUGAAGCAAAAAAUGUUCUGAAGCUUUGUGAUUUUGGUAAUGCAAUGUUUGCUGGCAAAAAUGAGAUUACACCUUACCUUGUCAGCCGCUUUUAUCGGUCCCCUGAAAUAAUUUUGGGCUUGCCAUAUGAUCAUCCUAUGGAUAUAUGGUCUGUCGGGUGCUGUUUAUUUGAGCUCUACAGUGGCAAGGUACUUUUCCCUGGGGCUACAAACAAUGACAUGCUUCGCCUUCAUAUGGAACUAAAAGGACCAUUCCCAAAGAAGAUGCUUAAGAAGGGAGGUUUCAUUGAGCAACAUUUUGACCAGGACUUGUGCUUUCUUGCCACUGAGGAGGAUCCUGUUACUAAGAAGACAAUGAGGAGGUUGCUCCCCAGUAUGAAGCCGAAAGAUAUAGGCACAAUAAUUACUGGCUCGCCUGGUGAGGAUCCGAAGAUUCUUGCCAAUUUCAAAGAUCUUCUGGAAAGGAUCUUCGUGUUGGAUCCAGAAAAAAGAUUGACAGUAUCACAGGCCUUGAGCCACCCAUUUAUCACGGGCAAGUGAACAAUGAUGCUGAUUUUCUGAGUCCAGAUGCUGUUGCCCUAUUUGUAUAUUAUGGCUAAAUUUAUAUUCAGAUUGCUAAUAAUUGGGCAUUUAUCUGUCUUCAUCUUCUUUGUGAUGGCUUGGGGAGCUUCAAGCAAUAUUUCUGCCAUGGGGAAAAGUGGAAAUAGAUGCAUUUGGUCUGACUACCUCUACCAUGGCGGUCGUUUCAGUGGAAUGUUUACUGUUCUAUUGAGAUCUACCAGUUCAAUGAGGCAACCGUGCAGUGCUUAGUUGCAUUAAAGGCACUCUGAAGAAGGUACCAUUGGUUUGUUUGUUAGGAGCUUAUCAAGAUACCAUUCAAAAUGCAUCGCAUAAUCACUUUAUUCAUAUUUUACUUGUCUUCCCAUUCCAAUCUUUAUAUGAAUACAAUGAUGCUUUAUGUUAUAUAUGCAAUUAUUACCUUGUAGAUGAAACUUUUCCACUGAUUUACUCUUGUUGAGCAUUCAGUAUUUCAUUUCUAGGACAUGAUUUUUGUAUGUUAGCUUGUUUAUUUUCCGAAUUUGCAAUAUUUUCAUACGCAUACCCUAAUGAGAUUGCUUACAUUGCUCCAUGCAUUGUUCCUGGGAGGAGUUUGCAUGGGAAGCUGCAGUUGAAGUUGAAGUACAUUCUGGUACGUCUUUAACUCAUUCUUCAGCGAUGUUGGUAUGUAUAUCCACCCUAAUCAACUUGAAGUGUACCCCUUGUAUGAUGCUACAGUAGAGCAUUCUUGAAAUAAUUUUAUGCUUGUUGGGUUUUCUUUAUGUAUAUGCUUAUGUAUUCUUGAAGUUUAUUUGUUAGUUUAUGACAGUAAUAAGGGUGUACCUAGAACUUGGUUUUGCUUAAUUUGACUUGCUGUUGUAAGAUUGGGAUUUAGGUGGAUGUAUUUUCUGGGCAUAUACUAUUCAGUUAGUUGGUAUAUGAGAAAGUAUGCUCUCUUGGAAGAGAAAAAAAAAUUACUGCAGAGCAUAGACUGAUGUGAAAUGGAUCAACAUCAUUAAGAGCUAAACAUAAUUUAGCGAACCCUAGGAAGAAGUAUCAAUGUAGUGAUAGUUAGAUAUUCAUUACGAUCAUCUUUGUUUUAGUGAAAUUCUCCUUUUUUUUUCCAUUGCUUUUGUUACCUGCUUUUAUUAAGAUAGUUCUACGCUUUAUGAGCUUAUAUGAACUUUACCAAUGUGCUAAUUGUUGGAUCUUUUAGUGUCGAACAAAUGUUUAAUAGUUGUCUAUUUCUUCUUCUGGUUUGUGAUAAAUUCAGUUAUCCUGGCCAAAAAAAGGGGUCCUAACUAGAUAUGUUAGUGUGAAUAACUGAUCCUUGAAGAGUGUCAUGUUCAGUUUUGUGGAUAACGGCUAGACCUUUAUAGUUAAAUUAAAUGUUUAUGAUCUAAUACCUGAUGUUCAUGUUUCUCAUUUCAUUACAUUAUUUUCCAUAGACAAUUAACUAUACCUUAUACUUUGCAAAAUUUCUAUUAGAAAGCGUGGAAAGAUCAUGCAUACCUCUUUUUUAAAAAUAUUUUAUACUGAUGUAAGAUACUAAGGACUGCCUAAGAGGAAUAAAAGAAGGCAAAACACAAUAAUGACCAACAUAAAGUAUGUUCAAAAGCUGAUGAAUUCUAUAUAAAAAAUAUAUAUAACAGCCACCUGCAACCAACUCCAAACAGAACAAAAACCAAGAAGUGUGUUGUCUAUCUCAUUUAAGUCCUCAUAAAGAGGACUGCUAGCUGUUUCCUGUAAAAGCUUUGAGAAAUUACCCAUGCAUACAUUAAGGUAGGGAGGAAAGUAUACAUUGGGAGCUCAUGAGCAUUGUAAAGUAUGUUGCAAUCUGUUUCAUUAUCAUAAAAUACAAGGUGGGGCAUAAACAUUUAAGAGUGGAGUUGCAACUAUGGGAGCUUUUUCCUUUACAAUGGGAGGUUUUUGCAUUAAGGUAGGGAGGAAAGUUCCAGCUGGAGGUGAAAAAGUAUGCAACAGGGACCAAUUUAUUUUAAAUUUUCUUGAGUUGUUAAAGUUUGUAUCAAUAAAGUUGUUGAGAUGAUGACUUCUAAUACAUCAAACAAUGUCCACACCAAGUAUUGGACACAUGACCUCGACGUUGUUCGGUUAAACAACUCAAUCAUCAAGCCAAGUCACCUUGAGUUUGUA